UAGGGAAUCUUCCGCAAUGGACGCAAGUCUGACGGAGCAACGCCGCGUGAGUGAAGAAGGAUUUCGGUUCGUAAAACUCUGUUGUUAGAGAAGAACAGCGUAUAGAGUAACUGUUAUGCGUGUGACGGUAUCUAACCAGAAAGCCACGGCUAACUACGUGCCAGCAGCCGCGGUAAUACGUAGGUGGCAAGCGUUGUCCGGAUUUAUUGGGCGUAAAGCGAGCGCAGGCGGUUAGAAAAGUCUGAAGUGAAAGGCAGUGGCUCAACCAUUGUAGGCUUUGGAAACUGUUUAACUUGAGUGCAGAAGGGGAGAGUGGAAUUCCAUGUGUAGCGGUGAAAUGCGUAGAUAUAUGGAGGAACACCGGUGGCGAAAGCGGCUCUCUGGUCUGUAACUGACGCUGAGGCUCGAAAGCGUGGGGAGCGAACAGG
rnacentral:rRNA from 1 species